UAGGAAUAAACAAUCACAAUUACACAUGUCACUAGUUUUACUAUUUUAUGAUAGCUUUAUAAUACAAUAUUUAUAUGUUUGACUGCGUGUCUCGUGUUCGUAUUUACAGCAACAUUUGAGGUAAUCAAAUAACAAAUGCCUUGCUUGAUCACAUCCAAAAUGGUAAAAAGCGAUAUACCUUGAAAUUCCGAGAUUUAGAGGAAAUUGUGCGUGUCCAGAGUUACAACCUUGAAAACGCAUUGAUGAACAGCGAUUUGGUAAGAAGCAGUAUUAUUUCUGCGUUUAUCCCUUUCCUUCCUCUUGAGAGAAGACACGUGGAAAAAUGCAUCAGAGACGGAUUGUUUGCUAAGGGGCAUUACCAGUAUGGCUUUCAAAUCGACCAGGAUGUUGUAAAGCAAACUGCGGACGAGUUGACCUACUUUCCCGAAGACACUCGCCUUUUUUCAACUACAGGAUGCAAAAGGGUAUAUGAAAAGAUCGAUCUCAUCAUGCAGCAGGAUUAACUGUGUAUGGCAUGGAGUUGGUAUAGGACGAGACUGUCAAACAACCCACAAAUUUCAUCUGAAAAGGGGAAAACAUUACUAGAGUAGACCUAUUAAUAAAGUAUUUAAUAACAUUAAGUAAGAAAUUAAAUUGCUUGUAACAGAAAUAUUUCGUAUUGUUUCAAACAAAUUGUUCACAAAGGUUGGCUGAGUAAACUAUUCAGUACUUGUAUGUUCUCGUUGGAACGAGUCCAGAGUCCUGCACACGUUUUUUUUCUUGAAAUUCUUUACCAUUAUCUUAUUUGGCAUGUAUUUGUUUUCCUGUAUGUUACUUUUACACAUAAACGUUCAUAAAAUA